rnacentral:sRNA from 1 species
AGUUUCUUAAAAGGAGAUAUGUUCAUUGUUCAUAAUGAGUUAGAAGAUGGAUGGAUGUGGGUUACAAAUUUAAGAACAGAUGAACAAGGCCUUAUUGUUGAAGACCUAGUAGAAGAGGUGGGCCGGGAAGAAGAUCCACAUGAAGGAAAAAUAUGGUUCCAUGGGAAGAUUUCCAAACAGGAAGCUUAUAAUUUACUAAUGACAGUUGGUCAAGUCUGCAGUUUUCUUGUGAGGCCCUCAGAUAAUACUCCUGGCGAUUAUUCACUUUAUUUCCGGACCAAUGAAAAUAUUCAGCGAUUUAAAAUAUGUCCAACGCCAAACAAUCAGUUUAUGAUGGGAGGCCGGUAUUAUAACAGCAUUGGGGACAUCAUAGAUCACUAUCGAAAAGAACAGAUUGUUGAAGGAUAUUAUCUUAAGGAACCUGUACCAAUGCAGGAUCAAGAACAAGUACUCAAUGACACAGUGGAUGGCAAGGAAAUCUAUAAUACCAUCCGUCGUAAAACAAAGGAUGCCUUUUAUAAAAACAUUGUUAAGAAAGGUUAUCUUCUGAAAAAGGGCAAAGGAAAACGUUGGAAAAAUCUAUAUUUUAUCUUAGAGGGUAGUGAUGCCCAACUUAUUUAUUUUGAAAGCGAAAAACGAGCUACCAAACCAAAAGGAUUAAUAGAUCUCAGUGUAUGUUCUGUCUAUGUCGUUCAUGAUAGUCUCUUUGGCAGGCCAAACUGUUUUCAGAUAGUAGUUCAGCACUUUAGUGAAGAACAUUACAUCUUUUACUUUGCAGGAGAAACUCCAGAACAAGCAGAGG